GACGAACGCUGGCGGCAUGCUUAACACAUGCAAGUCGAACGGAACGGCCCUGCUUAUGUGGGCUGCUCGAGUGGCGACCGGGUGAGUAACCCGUGAGUAAGCUGCAAUUGACUUUGGGAUAACUUCAGAAAACUGGGUCUCAUCCCGGCUAGGAGCUCUUGCUGCAUGGUGGGGGUUGGAAAGUUUCGGCGGUUGGGGAUGGACUCGCGGCUCAUCAGCUUGUUGGUGGGGUAGUGGCUUACCAAGGCUUUGACGGGUAGCCGGCCUGAGAGGGUGACCGGCCACAUUGGGACUGAGAUACGGCCCAGACUCCUACGGGAGGCAGCAGUGGGGAAUAUUGCACAAUGGGCGGAAGCCUGAUGCAGCAACGCCGCGUGCGGGAUGACGGCCUUCGGGUUGUAAACCGCUUUCGCCUGUGACGAAGCGUGAGUGACGGUAAUGGGUAAAGAAGCACCGGCUAACUACGUG
rnacentral:rRNA from 1 species